UACGAAGGGGGCUAGCGUUGCUCGGAAUCACUGGGCGUAAAGGGUGCGUAGGCGGGUUUUUAAGUCAGGGGUGAAAUCCUGGAGCUCAACUCCAGAACUGCCUUUGAUACUGCGGGUCUCGAGUCCGGGAGAGGUGAGUGGAAUUCCUAGUGUAGAGGUGAAAUUCGUAGAUAUUAGGAAGAACACCAGUGGCGAAGGCGGCUCACUGGCCCGGUACUGACGCUGAGGCGCGAAAGCGUGGGGAGCAAACAGG
rnacentral:rRNA from 1 species